AUGGAGGGGGAAGAGACGGAGGUAAAACAUAGCAAUUAUAACACGUCUCAACAAGCAAACAGACAUUUGAAGAACAGCCUCUUGGCAACACCCUGUAAUUUCUCUGCCUCAGCACACCAUCACAUUCCAGUCUGUGCGUUCUGCUUUUCAUAGCCUGGUAAAAAAAAUGAAAAAAAUCAGGAAUACCGUACUCAACAAUGGUGAGAGCCGAGGUGUAUUCAUUAGUGCAAAACCGUAACAAAACAAAAAAACGUUUCACUAAAAAUGUUUGUUUUGCAAUGAAAAGGAGAGUUUCUUAUAGGACCAAUUCAGGUAGGUCCAUUCCCGUUUCGUCCCGUUUGCUUCCCUUUGGUUCCUAAUGAAUACACCCCGGCUGUAACCAGGCUAUAGUGGUCAUUCCUUCAGCGUGUCAUAUCUAAUUGAAGUCACUCAAUUCAGAAAGUGAUUUGAAUUUAAAACAUCUAAAUACACUGAACAAAAAUAUAAACACAACAUGUAAAGUGUUGGUCCCAUGUUUCAUGAGGUGAAAUAAAAGAUCCCAGAAAUGUUCCAGCUUAUUUCUCUCAAACGUUAUGCACAAAUUUGUUAAUAUCUCUGUUAGUGAGCCUUUGUCCUUUGCCAACAUAAUCCAUCAACCUGACAGGUGUUGCAUAUCAAGAAGCUGAUUAAACAGCAUGAUCAUUACACAGGUGUACUGUCAUGACGUUGGCCUGGGGGUAGGUUUAUGACAGUCAUAAAUACCUCUUUCCCCCCUCUCUCUGUCUCUCCUUUUUCCUCUCUCUACCCUACUGAUGUUACAUUUGCAAACCCCUUGGUUAACAUAGAGAUUCUGGGAACAUCAGAAGGUGGGGGGAAAUGAACUAUAUUCUGGUAAUCCGACCAAUUGAACAUAUGCAGUGGUACUUAAUGAAUAUGAUGUCAGUUCAGUUGUCAUCUGAGACAUUCUCAUUAAUGAUAAGAUGACAUGAACUCUACAGUGGAAAGUCUACACAUCAGAGUUAUCGGAUUCACAUGGAAUUUUUAUUCAAUUUACAUUUUUGAAUAUGAAAUUAUUCGUGAUGGGAUGAAAUGUGAUUUUAGCUUCUAAAAUGUGAGAUUUGGGUUUUCAUAAAUUAGGGCUAUGCUCAAUCAGUGGCCCGCCCCUGUGAAGGGACAUGGGCUAUAAAACUUUUCAAACACGCUCUCCUCUCCCUUCCUAUAUAAAGCCUGGACGACAAUAUAACCUCCUGUUCCGAGGACGACGGUCCGAUGUCAGAAUGGUUCAGAUAAUAACUACAGAACGAAGCCAACAUCAGCGUGAGCUUUGGUUGCGAAUGGUAUGAACUUUGAACUCUUAUUCACUACAGAAGUGAUACCUCCUAGCCGUUGAGUUAGCAACAGCCUCUGCAAACGAGGUUAGGAAGGAACAGACAGAGUAUCCCGUCUACCACACAACGACGUUACUACAAUGUAUUCAAUUUACCAGCAGAGACAUUCUUCAAAGGACAAAGGACUCGGUUGGGCAACACGGCCUUCCAUCUACCACCAACCUACCGAAGCGCAGCUCAGAGUAAAUAUUUAUUGCAUUUUCCUUUUCCAAAUGGGCGGUAAUUUAGAAUACAUAAGAUACUGUAUUUACGAUAGCACAGCUUCGCCCUUUGUUCCUCAGUCUUCCCGCUCUUUCACUCAAACCCAGUCCCUUUUCUUUUGUGUAACAAGCUGUCAUAUCUGUUCCGCCCACUGGGGACGUUUUCCUUUAUGACGUAAUUUGUAAUCAAGUUAUGAUUUAAUUAUGUGUAAUUCUGUGUGAUUAGUUAGGUAUUUAGUAAAUAAAUAAUUAAACCCAAUUUUGUAUUGCUGAUUCAAAUUGUUAGCCAGGGUACGUGCAGAGAAUUUACAACUUUCAGAUUAGACUGAAUUAAGAUGAGGAUUAGACAAUCUCAUGUCUCAGGUUUUGAGGGAGCGUGCAAUUGGCAUGCAGACUGCAGGAAUGUCCACCAGACCUGUUGCCAGAGAAUUGAAUGUACAUUUUUCUACCAUAAGCCGCCUCCAACGUCAUUUUAGAGAAUUUGGUAGUAGGUCCAAUCGGCCUCACAACCACAGACCAUGAUGGCAGUGGGGUUAUGGUGUGGGCAGGCAUAAACUAUGGACAAUGAACACAAUUGCAUUUUAUCGAUGCCAAUUUGAAUGCACAGAGAGGCCCAUUGUCGUGCCAUUCAUCCGCCGCCAUCACCUCAUGUUUCAGCAUGAUAAUGCACAGCCCCAUGUCGCAAGGAUCUUUACACAAUUCCUGAAAGCUGAAAAUGUCCCAGUUCUUCCAUGCCCUGCAUACUCUCCAGACAUGCCACACAAUUGAGCAUGUUUGGGAUGCUCCGGAUCGACAUGUACGACAGCAUGUUCCAGUUCCUGCCUAUAUCCAGUAACCUCACACACCCAUUGAAGAGUGGGACUAUAUUCCAGACCACAAUCAACAGCCUGAUCAACUCUAUGCGAAGGAGAUGUGUCAUGCUGCAUGAGACAAAUAGUGGUCACACUACAUACUGACUGGUUUUCUGAUCCACGCCCCUACCUUGUGUGACCAACAGAUACAUAUCUGUAUUCCCAAUCAUGUGAAAUCCCUAGAUUUGGGUAAUCCUCAACCCUGCAUCAGUCCCAGGUAAACCCCAACCCUGCAUCAGUCCCAGGUAAAACCCAACCCUACAUCAGUCCCAGGUAAUCCUCAACCCUGCAUCAGUCCCAGGUAAACCUCAACCCUGCAUCCGUCCCAGGUAAACCCCAACCCUGCAUCAGUCCCAGGUAAUCCUCAACCCUGCAUCAGUCCCAGGUAAACCUCAACCCUGCAUCCGUCCCAGGUAAACCCCAACCCUGCAUCAGUCCCAGGUAAUCCUCAACCCUGCAUCAGUCCCAGGUAAACCUCAACCCUGCAUCCGUCCCAGGUAAACCCCAACCCUGCAUCAGUCCCAGGUAAUCCUCAACCCUGCAUCAGUCCCAGGUAAACCUCAACCCUGCAUCCGUCCCAGGUAAACCCCAACCCUGCAUCAGUCCCAGGUAAACCCCAACACUGCAUCAGUCCCAGGUAAACCCCAACCCUGCAUCAGUCCCAGGUAAACCCCAACCCUGCAUCAGUCCCAGGUAAACCCCAACCCUUCAUCAGUCCCAGGUAAACCCCAACCCUGCAUCCAUCCCAG